UGGAAAGUUCUGAGAGUCUGUGGCUCAGCCAUCGUGACUAUGUAACCAGUAUUGGUCGGUGGCCCAAGGUCUCUCUCCUUUCAGGGUUCAACCUCCAACCUUAUUUCUGCUUCCUUCAUGUUGGAAUUCACACUGUGAGAAUUGUUGUCAUCCUUUCUCUACGACUCCAAGAGAAACUUUAUACUGGAGGAAGAAUAUUCUACCACUUUGGGAUGCUUCCAAAGAAAUGGGAUACCAAAGGAGUGAACUUCAGGUCAUUGGAAGUGGCCAAGCUGGAGGGCGACCUAUGGAGACAUGACCUUCAGUUCUUCCUGAGAUCGAUAAAGCUUAAAAGAAAAGAAAAAGCCAACUCAGCUUGUGCGUGGAUCCUGGACCUUGCUCUAAUACAGACCCCGCUCCUGGAGUGUAAGCCAUGCUUGACGGCUCAGCUUUCUUGUCACUAAUGAGGUGGGAUGUGGUUGUGCAUUCAAAAUCUAGCAAGGACGAAGUGAGUGCACCACUGAUUAAACAUGGAGAGAAAUUUCUUUCCAAAGGGCUGUGUAAGAGGAGAAGCAGGAGAUGUAUGUAAGAUUUCUCAUUUGUGCAAUGCAUCCUCUGAACCACUGUGAUGCCACGGGCUGCUGAACUUUCCACAGGGGCCAUUAGGGACGAAAUCACACCGAUGGAAUGAAAGGGAAAAUAACCAAAGACAACAGCAACAGCUCAAAACACCAGAAAAAGCAGCAACACUAUAUCUAUCCGUCACUGGCCCAACUCGACAUCUGGAAAAGAACCCAGAGUAGCUGCCAACCAGAUGGCCCCUUGGUUCUCGGCUUGGGUCAUGGAAAAACUGAAGAUGCAUUAGAUCAUCAAAGAAAAUGGCACAAACAACCCUGCAAAAGAAAGGAUCUUCUUCCAGAUUAAAUCUCUUAUAAUAUAACUCCUCUAUUGGAUGGUUAAUUCUAACUAUCCAAUGUCUCCCUUUUUUUUUCUUUAAUUUACCAGCCCGGGCAACAUGGUGAAACCCCAUUUUAACAAAAAAUACAAAAAAAUUAGUUGGGGGUGGUGGCAUGCGCCUUUAGUCCCAGCUACUCAGGAGGCUGAGCCUGGGAGGUCGAGACUGCAGUGAACCGUGAUCAUGCCACUGCACUCCAGCCUGGGUGACAGAAUGAGACCCUGUCUCAAAAAAAAGAAAAGUUAACAGCCUUUGCCAGAACUUUCUCAUAUGACCAUUGCCAAGUAGCCAUCAGUGACUUUCAUUUAGGAAACCAUAUUAAAUGAACCUACUGAACAUGCAGUUCUUGGUGUGGAACUCAAGAUCUGACUGCUUUCUCUUCUACUGACUUCACCUUGUUAGCAUAACAAGGCACUCAACACUCCUGUGGCUGAAUGAGUUUUGCCAUCAAUGAGAGAUAAUAAUUAUUCCCAAAGGGUUAUCUGAGUGUUGCUUAGGGAAUACUUACAAAGUGCUUACCGCACCCCCAGUUGGGCUCCAAGUCAGCUCACAGUGUUCCUUCCAAACACGCAGAGCUAGCUGGGG
rnacentral:lncRNA from 1 species